UCCAACCAGAGAUCUGUGACCUGCUGCCUCCAGGAUAGCGGAGGAAAUGCCACACCGGCCACCUACGUCCUGCUGUGAAACUAAGAUAAACACCACCUCUCAAGAACCUCAACAAGAAUAAAAAAGUGGUUCCGCUUCCUGAAAAAGAACAAUAUGACAUUCUAGAGGAAAAAAAUAUACCUGUAUUACAAGAAACUCCAGUAGAAAUAGAAGCCCAAAGAUGAACACCAGUGGAACAGCAAACACAAGAACAGUCAGGAGAAAAAGGGCAAAGACUUGAGUCACCAGAAUCUCCCGAACCAUUGUCCUCUGAAAAUCCAUCUCAAGAGCAAAGCUCCAGAACACCAGAAUCUCUUGGACAAUUACCCUUGGAAGAACCUCUCCAGGAACAAAGUCCUGAGCAGCAGGAGUCCCCUGAACCAUUAUCCUUGGGACAGUGAACUUAGACACGGAUGACUCAGGGACGAUAAGAACAACAAAUACCACGAAAACAGAAUAUCAGCUGUGUUGUGAGGAGCAACCUUCUAAAGUUGAAAAGGAUCACAAGACAAAUGAAAAUAAAAUCGUAUACUUUUUUCACAUUAAACUGAAGAGCCGGCCCGGGAGUAGAAACCAACACAUCAACCCAAGCACCGUUCUGUGUACUCGACGUCAGCUUUUCUUCAACCGCGGGGCUCCAUCUCGCACACGGACAUUUUCACAGCAGCAAAACCGUGUUGGCG
rnacentral:lncRNA from 1 species